GACGAACGCUGGCGGCGUGCUUAACACAUGCAAGUCGAGCGGUAAGGCCCUUUCGGGGGUACGACGAGCGGCGAACGGGUGAGUAACACGUGGGUGACCUGCCCUCAGCUCUGGGAGUAAGCCGUCGGGAAACCGGGUACUAAUACCGGGAUAUGACUCCAUGACGCAUGUUGUGGGGUGGAAAGCCUUGUGCGGCUGAGGAUGGGCCCGCGGCCUAUCAGCUUGUUGGU
rnacentral:rRNA from 1 species